UAACAGAAAAGCCCAGCUGAGAGUGACACCAGCACAGAGGAAAGUAAGCAAGGCCAAGAGGUUGGGAAAGAUGAUUGCUACUGAUGUCAUCAAGCACCCAGACCUUUGGCUACAUCAGAAUGGAGACCCCUGCUGGCUUGAGCCACCGCUGUGCCCUGGUGUCUGGAAUCAGCCCAGCAUGCGAGGGCCUCAGUGAACGUGCCCCGGGUGCUUUUUGGGGAGUGUGGUCUUACUGGAACACUCUCCUGUCGAUUGAGCAGGCUGCUACCCUCUAGCCCCGGCCACUCUGUGGGGAGGAGAGCGCCUGCCCUUUGGCUGCAAGUUGGUACCCUGGCCGGGAUGGUAAUGAGAUCCAGAAACUUGAUGUCCUGUCUUCACUCCUGUCCUUAGACAAUGUUGUUUGUGUAGGGCACGGGACAGCCACCUAAGCCACGAAGCCUAAGACUCCCAAGUGAGGUUUCCUCUUCAGGGGUCUAAUGCGAUCCCCUCCACAACUCUGGACUAGCCACCUCUGGCCGCAACCGCUUCACUGGGAGACAGCAGGAACCAGUACCUGAGUGAAUUAAAACCCAACUGGGGACCAUUCCCUAGGGGAGUUGCUUGUGAAGACUCUAUGGGUGGGACUGUCACUUGGACCAUGAUGGAUUUCCACCUGUGCUGCUUUCUGUCAAUGUCCUCUACUAACUACUACUGAAAUUACAAAACUGGGCAAUUGAUUCCCCCUUGUGAAACUUUUCUAGUGUUUUCCGUGGGUUACAAACGGCAGGUUCUUCAAGAACCUGGAGCCUGGCCUCUGUGGCAUGCUCUUCAAAGACCAGGGAAUCAGGACAUGACCAUCAGGGCCC